AAAGACCAGUCCCAGUUCGGAUAAGAGGCUGAAACUCGCCUCUUUGAAGUCGGAAUCGCUAGUAAUCGCAGAUCAGCAUGUUGCGGUGAAUACGUUCCCGGGUCUUGUACACACCGCCCGUCAAACCAUGAGAGUCACCAACACCCGAAGUCCGCCUUGGCGGCCUAAGGGUGGGGGGAGAUGAUUGGGGGUUAAGUCGUAACAAGGUACC
rnacentral:rRNA from 1 species